rnacentral:rRNA from 1 species
AAGUCGUAACAAGGUUUCCGUAGGUGAACCUGCGGAAGGAUCAUUAUUGAAUAAGCUUGGUUGGGUUGUUGCUGGCUCUCCGGAGCAUGUGCACGCCUGACAACCAACCUUUUACCACCUGUGCACCUUUUGUAGACCUGGAUAUCUCUCGAGGAAACUCGGUUUUGAGGAUUGCCGUGCGCAAGCCGGCUUUCCUCGCACUUCCGGUCUAUGUUUUUAUAUACCCCUACACAUGUUUUAGAAUGUCAUUAAUGGGCUUAACUGCCUUUAAAUCUAUACAACUUUCAACAACGGAUCUCUUGGCUCUCGCAUCGAUGAAGAACGCAGCGAAAUGCGAUAAGUAAUGUGAAUUGCAGAAUUCAGUGAAUCAUCGAAUCUUUGAACGCACCUUGCGCUCCUUGGUAUUCCGAGGAGCAUGCCUGUUUGAGUGUCAUGAAAUUCUCAACCUUGUCAUCAUUUAUGUUGAUCAGGCUUGGAUGUGGGAGUUUGCGGGCUUCUCAGAAGUCGGCUCUCCUUAAAUACAUUAGCGGGACCUUUGUUGNCCAGCUUUAGUGUGAUANUUAUCUACGCUAUCGUUGAAAGCAGCUUUUAAUGGGGUACAGCUUCUAAUCGUCUCAUUUGAGACAACUUCUGACAAUUUGACCUCAAAUCAGGUAGGACUACCCGCUGAACUUAGGCAUAUCAAUAAGCGNAGGAAAAGAAACUAACAAGGAUUCCCCUAGUAACUGCGAGUGAAGCGGGAAAAGCUCAAAUUUAAAAUCUGAUGGUCCUUGUGGCUAUCCGAGUUGUAAUCUAGAGAAGUGUUAUCCGCGCUGGACCGUGUACAAGUCUCCUGGAACGGAGCGUCAUAGAGGGUGAGAAUCCCGUCUUUGACACGGACUACCAGGGCUUAUGUGAUGCGCUCUCAAAGAGUCGAGUUGUUUGGGAAUGCAGCUCUAAAUGGGUGGUAAAUUCCAUCCAAAGCUAAAUAUUGGCGAGAGACCGAUAGCGAACAAGUACCGUGAGGGAAAGAUGAAAAGAACUUUGGAAAGAGAGUUAAACAGUACGUGAAAUUGUUGAAAGGGAAACGCUUGAAGUCAGUCACGUUGGCCAGGGAUCAACCUUGCUUUUGCUUGGCGUACUUUCUGGUUAACGGGUCAGCAUCAAUUUUGACCGGUGGAUAAAGGUCAGGGGAAUGUGGCAUCUUCGGAUGUGUUAUAGCCCUUGGUUGCAUACAUCGGUUGGGAUUGAGGAACUCAGCACGCCGCAAGGCCGGGUUUUUAACCACGUACGUGCUUAGGAUGCUGGCAUAAUGGCUUUAAUCGACC